rnacentral:siRNA from 1 species
AAACUUUCUCGACCUUUCACGCG